rnacentral:lncRNA from 13 species
UGGGGAGUGGAGGAAGCGGGGACAGCCAGGCCAGCUGGGCCACCCUUCACACGGUCAGCCGGCGCUUAGGAGCUGCGAGGUCUGGGGGGGGCACGUGGAGCUGCAGCCCGGUAAUGGGGCCAGGGCUGAGAGUGAUCUGAAGAUGACACAGCUAGAAAAGCAUCACUUUAAGGCACCAAGAAAAAAAAAUGCAGCAUCCGUUUGGAAACAAAGGCUCCAGCAGGCUCUCUCCAGCCUGGACAGCUCACUUUCAUUUGAGUUUCAGCUGAGACACAAAAACGUGUGGACCUCGGUAUCCUGCACUUUGUAUCUGAGCCAUGACUCACUGGCCAGGGAAGAUCUACUGAGACCAGUAUCAAUAAUGGAACGCAAUUGA